GGACCCGUAGCUCAGCGGAAUUAGAGCGCGACCCCGCGGAGGUCGAGGCCGCUGGUUCAAAUCCAGCCGGGUUCACCA
rnacentral:tRNA from 1 species